rnacentral:rRNA from 1 species
UACGGGUCAAAAAUCGGAGCGUUCAAAGCAGGCAGAUCCAAUUUUCUGCCACCGAAUACAUUAGCAUGGGAUAAUGGAAUAGGACCCUGUCCUCCUAUUUUCAGUUGGUUUUGGCAGCGCGAGGACUAGGGUAAUGAUUAAUAGGGAUAGUUGGGGGCAUUAAUAUUUAAUUGUCAGAGGUGAAAUUCUUGGAUUUAUGAAAGAUUAACUUCUGCGAAAGCAUCUGCCAAGGAUGUUUUCAUUAAUCAAGAACGAAAGUUAGGGGAUCGAAGACGAUCAGAUACCGUCGUAGUCUUAACCAUAAACGAUGCCGACCAGCGAUUAGGAGACGUUGAAUACAAAACACCACCAUCGGCGCGGUCGUCCCUGGCUCGUCGUCUCACGACGGCGGGCGGGGGCGGUUUAGCCCGAUGGCACCGGUGAAUGACUCCUAGCAGCUUGUGAGAA